GUCUACGGCCACACCACCCUGAAUGUGCCUGCUCUCCUCUGAUCUCGGAAGCUAAGCAGGGUCAGGCCUGGGUAGUACUUGGAUGGGAGGAAGAAGGAAAUAAAUA
rnacentral:rRNA from 1 species